GUCUACAGCCCGCCACCCUGAACACUCCCGAUCCCAUCUGAUCUUGGAAGCUAAACAGGGUCGGGCCUGGUUACUACUUGGAUGGGAGACCGCCUAGGUAGACUGGGUGCUGUAGGCA
rnacentral:rRNA from 1 species